rnacentral:rRNA from 1 species
UACGUAGGGUGCAAGCGUUAAUCGGAAUUACUGGGCGUAAAGUGUGCGCAGGCGGCUUUGCAAGACAGAUGUGAAAUCCCCGGGCUUAACCUGGGAACUGCAUUUGUGACUGCAAGGCUGGAGUGCGACAGAGGGGGAUGGAAUUCCGCGUGUAGCAGUGAAAUGCGUAGAGAUGUGGAGGAAUACCGAUGGCGAAGGCAGCCCCCUGGGAUAACACUGACGCUCAUGCACGAAAGCGUGGGGAGCAAACAGG